CCUACGGGAGACAGCAGUGGGGAAUAUUGGGCAAUGGGCGCAAGCCUGACCCAGCAACGCCGCGCGAAGGAAGAAGGCUUUCGGGAUGUAAACUUCUUUUGUCAGGGAAGAGUAGAAGACGGUACCUGACGAAUAAGCCACGGCUAACUACGUGCCAGCAGACGCGGUAAUACGUAGGUGGCAAGCGUUGUCCGGAUUUACUGGGUGUAAAGGGCGUGUAGCCGGGUUGACAAGUCAGAUGUGAAAUCCUGCGGCUUAACCGCAGAACUGCAAUUGAAACUGUUGAUCUUGAGUACUGGAGAGGCAGACGGAAUGCCUAGUGUAGCGGUGAAAUGCGUAGAUAUUAGGAGGAACACCAGUGGCGAAGGCGGUCUGCUGGACAGCAACUGACGGUGAGGCGCGAAAGCGUGGGGAGCAAACAGGAUUAGAUACCCCUGUAGUC
rnacentral:rRNA from 1 species